AUUGAACGCUGGCGGCAGGCCUAACACAUGCAAGUCGGGCGGCAGCGGGGGAAAGCGUGCUUUCCUGCCGGCGAGCGGCGGACGGGUGAGUAAUGUCUGGGGAUCUGCCCGAUGGAGGGGGAUAACCACUGGAAACGGUGGCUAAUACCGCAUGAACUCUGAGGAGCAAGGUGGGGGACCUUCGGGCCUCACGCCAUCGGAUGAACCCAGAUGGGAUUAGCUAGUAGGUGGGGUAACGGCUCACCUAGGCGACGAUCCCUAGCUGGUCUGAGAGGAUGACCAGCCACACUGGGACUGAGACACGGCCCAGACUCCUACGGGAGGCAGCAGUGGGGAAUAUUGCACAAUGGGCGCAAGCCUGAUGCAGCCAUGCCGCGUGUAUGAAGAAGGCCUUCGGGUUGUAAAGUACUUUCAGCGGGGAGGAAGGC
rnacentral:rRNA from 1 species